CAAUUAUUCUGAAGGAAGAAGAAUUAUUUCUUCCUAGUCUAAUCCCAACCUCUAAUGUGCCCCGUCAUGUCCUCCUCCCCUCCGCGGACCCGGUAGCUAGCUCUCCCGUACGUAGGCCAUCUCUCCGCCCGUGACCACCACCAAGAGGCGUCCCCGGCAGAGAUCAACGACGGCGGCAGGGGCGCUUCCCGACGUCUCAACUCUCAAGAGAGGAUCAACCCCUACGAUGAAGCUCAUUGAUGGCUUAGUGUUGAAUGUGCUUAAGAGCAGAAGGCCAAUAUCAUCAAUUGGAAAAAUGACCACUUGAAGGGGCAACGUGGUCUCGUGAUGAAUUAUGCACUAUUAAUAGCUGGUUUGGUGCGAUGGUGUUUGUUUUGUCAUUUUGUUGGUAACUUAGUCGGCCAGCAUAAUAAUUCCCGGUGUUAAGUGGCAUGCGUAAGCGGGUGAAGGGAUUAUCUUUGUAAUGAACCUACUAGUUGUCACAGGAAUUGACAGAGCUAACCGACUUCCUCAUAAUUGAAAUGUCUUAUCUUCUAUAA